ACGGAGGGUGCAAGCGUUAUCCGGAUUCACUGGGUUUAAAGGGUGCGUAGGAGGGUAGGUAAGUCAGUGGUGAAAUCUUCGAGCUUAACUCGAAAACUGCCGUUGAUACUAUUAAUCUUGAAUAUUGUGGAGGUCAGCGGAAUAUGUCAUGUAGCGGUGAAAUGCUUAGAGAUGACAUAGAACACCAAUUGCGAAGGCAGCUGGCUACACAUAUAUUGACACUGAGGCACGAAAGCGUGGGGAUCAAACAGGA
rnacentral:rRNA from 1 species